rnacentral:rRNA from 1 species
GACGAACGCUGGCGGCGUGCUUAACACAUGCAAGUCGAACGGAAAGGCCCUGCUUUUGUGGGGUGCUCGAGUGGCGAACGGGUGAGUAACACGUGAGUAACCUGCCCUUGACUUUGGGAUAACUUCAGGAAACUGGGGCUAAUACCGGAUAGGAGCUCCUGCUGCAUGGUGGGGGUUGGAAAGUUUCGGCGGUUGGGGAUGGACUCGCGGCUUAUCAGCUUGUUGGUGGGGUAGUGGCUUACCAAGGCUUUGACGGGUAGCCGGCCUGCGAGGGUGACCGGCCACAUUGGGACUGAGAUACGGCCCAGACUCCUACGGGAGGCAGCAGUGGGGAAUAUUACACAAUGGGCGGAAGCCUGAUGCAGCAACGCCGCGUGCGGGAUGACGGCCUUCGGGUUGUAAACCGCUUUCGCCUGUGACGAAGCGUGAGUGACGGUAAUGGGUAAAGAAGCACCGGCUAACUACGUG